CCAGCCGGCCGGGCGGCCGCGGUAUGCUCUGCAUAUCGAGGAAAGUCCGGGCUCCACGCAGACACGGUGCCGGAUAACGUCCGGCGGGGGCAACCCCAGGGAAAGUGCCACAGAAAUCAGACCACCCGUGAAAGACUUUCGGGUCCGCACGGGCCAGGGUGAAACGGUGGGGUAAGAGCCCACCGCGCGACCGGCAACGGGAGCGGCACGGCAAACCCCACCGGGAGCAAGGUCGAAUAGGGACGGCACGGGAAACCACCCCUGUCUACGGGGCGCCGUCCGGGUUGACUGCUAGAGGCGCCGGGCAACCGGCGUCCCAGAGGAAUGGUCGCCACGCGGGCCGCAAGGUCCGCCGUACAGAACCCGGCUUACAGGCCGGCUGGUGUU
rnacentral:RNase_P_RNA from 1 species